rnacentral:lncRNA from 1 species
UCUUUCCUUCCAUAUUUUAUUAAUGUACAUUUCUAAUUUGUAGGAAAACUGCUGUGGUGUAUGACAAAGGUACUGGAGAAAUAGCAUAUAAGGGAAGGAUGAAACUAAACCAGGAAUGGAUGAACUUCUGUGGCUACAGGGCUACAGGGAAUGGAAAAACAAGAUACCCUACAUAGUAGCAGGGAGAAGCAUUUGCAAGCCACUUCAAGGGCAACUGUGUGGAAGAGUUUCAGCACAAUAUUGAUGUGGUCAAGACACUUGAGGUCAUGUGCAGAGAAUGGAUCAGAGGAUGGCAAGUCUGAAUGUUUGGAGACUGGUUCUUAA